AGAAGUUGCAAAAGCAGAGAUGGCACCA
rnacentral:piRNA from 1 species